GCAGGAGAGACACACAGGCCCUGGUACCAGCAGAGGUGCCGUGAGGCUCCCAGAUCACACAGGGACGGGGUGGCGGGGGGACUGUGCUCCUUUGAAUGGACAGGCUGGCAGAAGGCUCAGCACAAAUAAGGGGACCUGUGAGCGUCUUAAUAGUCAGAAACCAGUUUUGCUUUCUCCUGGACUCAUGGCUGAGGAGUCCCUGUGCCUGUUCCCCUCUGGAAGGACUUCCCGUCCUGCCCCUUCACUUCUCUGCUGGGUCCUAGAUCCCAAGGCCACACCAGAUGCUAUCAGACAACAGAGAAGAGAACCACAAAUGUCAAGGAAGCAUUCAUCAGAGAGCAGGUGAUUAUGUUCUCUCAAAUAAAGAGGCUGUGUAGAGGUAUGAAGGGAUUCCAGCUAGAAGGCAUUGCAAGUGUAAGACAUAGGCAAGAGAGAACAUGCAGUAUGAGAAAAUGUGGAGAGAUCUGAUGUGUCUAGAACACAAGGAAUGUGGGGAAGGAGUGAGGGCUGAUGCUGGACCUCGCCCUACAGACAGUGAGGAGUCACUUGGUUUAAAGCAGGGGCAUGACAUGAUCAAUUUGUGCUUUAGGAAGGUAAGUUGGUGGCCUGCAAAAUCAAUGAGAAAGGGUAGAGAAUGGAGGAAAAGCUAUUGCAUUCUUCCAAAUGAAAGCUGAUGACAUCCUGCAGUAAGGCAGAGGCAUUGAAUGGCAAGAAGAGAUGGAGUGAAGGACAGAAGGAAGGAGGUCCACGUGACACAGGCUGCUGCCUAUGGCCAUGAUUAUUCUCCUCUUCUCUGGACACAGGUUUUUAGCAGCCUUAAGUCAUGGUUUGUAGUUUCUCUCUCCAGUGAUAAGCGAGAAAGAGUGAUGAAGAAGGGGCUUUACCGGCCCACCCAGAAACAGAAACUAAGCACUCAUGACUGUGUUUUCUCCCUUGGACACCCAAAUCAAUGAAAUGGAAAAGGAAACAACCAAGUGCCAUUUCCAGUAGCAGCCCUUUAAGAGCCAGUGUGUGAGGUGUGACAUUGCUCUUCCUGGCUCGGUGGUGACCACAGAAGCAGGUGUUGAGAUGUCACCUCCAUCAGCUGGGGUCCUAGUGGGACGACAAUCAGCAGAACCCUCCUGCCCACUGAAACAAACACGUAGCAUGAGUGAGAAAUAAACGUUGGUGGUUUUAAGAUGCGCAGGUUCAGAGGUAAUUAGUUACCAGAGUAUAAACUAGUUUACGAUGACGAAUACAACGUCUAACUCACUAUGAUUUUGACAAUAUUGUCAUAUUUUCC